CAUUAAUUGUGCCAAGAAAUACAGAGAGACCCAUAACAAAACUCAGGAUGCAAGUAAAGUUUUGAGUUUUGUUGCUUAAUUUCAUCUUUCCCCACAUAAAUUAUACUGCAGUACAUAUUCCUAACCCUCUAAAAUAACACUAAUUUUCUGAAGUAUUUGCUUCCUUAUGUAUUAGCCACACGUUCUAUUUUUAUCUCAGUGGUGAAUCCAAGAAGUCAAAUUACCCAUUACUAAUGGUCAUGUGGCUGCAAUGGCUGAGAGUCCAGAAAAUGCAGAGAAAUGUCUGAAAAUGUCUUUGGGAAAGUACAAGAAAAGCAGAAGUGUGUGCACUCUGCAGUAAAUGAUUAGAUGAAGUAAUCUAGAUACAUAUUUUUUUUGAAAGCUCUUUAAAGAGAAACAUUAAUGACGAUUCUCUUUAUGGAUUUUCAUUCUGGCACUGCUUAUUCAUCUAACUUGAAACUACAUUACACAGUCACAUUACUCAGACUCCAACAGUGAUACAUACAAGAGCAAAUGCACACCAGCUUGUGUUGCGGCCAUGAAAAAGGAUCUUCUUUGGUUGAUUCUCUUUUGAAAGCAGAUUUGUUUUAAGACCACUGAAAUGUAUAAGCUAUGAAGAGGAGAAGAAGCGAUAUCUCCACUGGACUUCUUACUUUCGACAUCUGGCUGUGGUCCACUGGGAGAAAUUUGCUCAUCUACUUCAGAUGCAAGUCACAAAACCAUUUCUGAUGUGUUUACAAACUAGUCUGGAAAAGCCUCAUCAAACCAAAAUAAAGAGGUGGAUGUUUUUUUGUUGGUUGGUUGUUUUUUCUUCUCCUUUUUCAAUAAAAGAAGAGGCAUUCUGAAUUCUUCCUCCAAGAUCAUCAGUCAUUUUCUGAACUGCUUGGUUAGAA
rnacentral:lncRNA from 1 species